AUCUAUACGGUGAAACUGCGAAUGGCUCAUUAAAUCAGUUAUCGUUUAUUUGAUAGUACCUUACUACUUGGAUAACCGUGGUAAUUCUAGAGCUAAUACAUGCUAAACACCCCGACUUCGGAAGGGGUGUAUUUAUUAGAUAAAAAACCAAUGCCCUUCGGGGCUCCUUGGUGAUUCAUAAUAACUUAACGAAUCGCAUAGCCUUGUGCUGGCGAUGGUUCAUUCAAAUUUCUGCCCUAUCAACUUUCGAUUGUAUGGUAUUGGCUUACAAUGGUUUCAACGGGUAACGGGGAAUUAGGGUUCUAUUCCGGAGAGGGAGCCUGAGAAACGGCUACCACAUCCAAGGAAGGCAGCAGGCGCGCAAAUUACCCAAUCCCGACACGGGGAGGUAGUGACAAUAAAUACUGAUACAGGGCUCUUUUGGGUCUUGUAAUUGGAAUGAGUACAAUUUAAAUCCCUUAACGAGGAACAAUUGGAGGGCAAGUCUGGUGCCAGCAGCCGCGGUAAUUCCAGCUCCAAUAGCGUAUAUUAAAGUUGUUGCAGUUAAAAAGCUCGUAGUUGAACCUUGGGUUUGGUUGGUCGGUCCGCCUCACCGCGUGCACUGAUCCGACCGAAUCUUUCCUUCUGGGGAACCGUAUGCCCUUCACUGGGUGUGCUGGGGAACCAGGACUUUUACUUUGAAAAAAUUAGAGUGUUCAAAGCAGGCCUAUGCUCGAAUACAUUAGCAUGGAAUAAUAGAAUAGGACGUGUGGUUCUAUUUUGUUGGUUUCUAGGACCGCCGUAAUGAUUAAUAGGGAUAGUCGGGGGCAUCAGUAUUCAAUUGUCAGAGGUGAAAUUCUUGGAUUUAUUGAAGACUAACUACUGCGAAAGCAUUUGCCAAGGAUGUUUUCAUUAAUCAGUGAACGAAAGUUAGGGGAUCGAAGACGAUCAGAUACCGUCGUAGUCUUAACCAUAAACUAUGCCGACUAGGGAUCGGGCGGUGUUAUCUUUUUGACCCGCUCGGCACCUUACGAGAAAUCAAA
rnacentral:rRNA from 1 species